CCCUGCCGCCCCGCAUGUCCUCCCAUCGCGCCGCCAAGCCGUGUCGCCGCCCUGCUCCACAUCCUCGCGGACAUCCUCGACACUGCUGCGCGACCCCGCGUGCUCACGUUCCAGCGUCGUCGCCUCUUGCCGCCAUGGCUGCCCCCGACCUUCUCUGCCAGCCCGGACAUUUCCAGCACGAUCUCUGACGAUGUUGCCCCGCCGUCUCCUGGGCUCCAGCUUCUCCUUGUACCACGCCUCCAGCUCCUCCUCCCUGCGAAAUCCUUAGGCCCCAGCUGGUUAAUUGGAUCGGCCGCCGUCACGUGGCUCCUCUGUUCUGGAGAACGAGCGGAUGGAGCAGAGCUCGAUCUAUCCAAGUCAAAACGUGUACCGGGGUGUUCUCGUCAUAGUGUGUGGGACUGGUCAGUCAACGGGCAAAUGAUAAGAGUGAUAAAGAAAAGAGGGGCAAAAAAAUAAGAUCAAAGUAAAGAAGGGCAAUUCAUAGAGGUACCAAGUAAAGAGGGGCAAAUAAUAAAAUUUCCCCCUUACCAGGCCAUCCGAAAUCGCUCCCUCACUUCACCACGCGCGCAGCUCCGAUCUGUGUUGUCUUUGCCAGAACAAAGCCCCGACGCGUUGAUCCAUGUGAUCUAGUGAUGCCAUCGCCCUCAUCCCCAUCGAGUGACCCCGCAUCGGCGAUCUCGACGACCUCCAACUUGUCCAUCAGCCUCGUCGAUGAACUGCAGCGAUCCUGCUCCCUGGAUCACCCUAUAGCAGAUCCAACAAUUUAGUUGGUAUUUUAUUUUGUUGUUCCUUCAUCUUUCCCCACUUUAUGCUGUCUCUGGUCAAUGGAAUUUGGGGAGCUCGGUGUGUGCAAACUGCCUUGGUACAGACGUACACUGGAUGGGAAUUGCUCUGAUAAGUGUUAUCUCUGAUAAGUCAUGUUUUAGAUGUGGUUUCAGUCAUUUACAUUGGUAUUACUCUAUCUUUGGUUUCAGAGUGUUCCAUGUUAACCUAGUAUGCUCUGAUCUUCAGAAUUCAGAUUAUAUAUGCCUACUCCUAACUGAAAUUUGAGUGCGAUACUAUCUAAAUUAGUACUUCUAAACUAUGUGCCCAUAUUCUGUACAACUUGUAGUACAAGUCCAUUCUUUUGUUAAUGUCCGUUGUUGUGCAAUACAUGUCCAUUAUCAUUUGGCUAUUUCAGGAUAAUGAGGCGUGUGAGCAUAGGAUCUAGCUAGGCAGCAGGAUCUGUUGAGGUAGAUUAAGAAAGAGAUCAAGGAAGCUCAAGGUACAGAACUGUCUUAUAUGUGGCGCAGCUAUCUAGCCAAGUUACUCCUAGAUGUUAUGAGGACAUGCAUGUUAUUGAUGCUAUGUGGGAUAACUAAGAAGAGAACAUCUGUGAGUGAUAUGAACAUUUUGGAAUCUCUAAUUAUAUGAACAUGUACGUCUCUUUUAUCUAUUGCACUUUUCUGUAGCUAUAUCGUAAAAUUGCAAUGUAACUUCUGCAUCAUAGAUGAGAAAUGGCACUGCAGUUUUGUUUGCGAUAUUAUGCUUUAAUCCAGUAUUUAAUAAAAAAAUCUAUCAUUUCUUAAAAAUAACAUGAAGCACGGUAUCAUUAUAUAUUCCUUUUAUUAUGGCAGGACAAGUAGUAAACUGACUUCUGAGCAACAUGUGAUGUGUCCUUGUUAUAUUAGUUUGAUAUGCUCUCAUCUUGACUCUCCUUUUCAGAAGGGGCAACUCAUAAAUAAUUAAAUAUAUGUGAGCAAGUGGGUAAGCUAUAAUGCUCCAAGAUUUGUUCCAGAUGUGUAAUACUGGCCUGCUCUUGAGAUAUAAGUUAACUACACUGCUCGUGCCCACUGAUAGUUUAGCUUUGCGGUAUUGUGUCUGACCAUUAUAUAGAUCUAGUCAAUUAAAUGAUUCUGAUCUACUGUUAAAUCAGUCCUUUCAUAUGUUUAUCAUAGUUAUUUCUUCUUUCAGUAUUUCCUAUGUCUUUGAUCUGUGUGGUACCGACUUGACAUCUAGGUGCCAUGGGCUGUUUUAAAUGCAAGGGACAGCAAAGAUUAUCUUGCAUGACUUAACUUUGGCAUGCUACUGAACUGUUCGAAGAAAUUCCAAGCAAUAUGUGGAUGUGAAUUUAAAGGCCGAAAAUAUCAGCAAGAACCGUCACAUUCAAAUGUUACAUUAGAGGACACCGGACGAGAAGGAAUGUAUAUAGGAUUAGAUAGAGUAUCAUAUUAUGAUCCAAGAUUGUAAGAUGUGUACUCUUAAGAUAAUUUUCAUUUGUGGAUGGUGAUUUUAAUUAUAAAUAUAUAAAUGUUUCUGCA